rnacentral:misc_RNA from 1 species
UUUACAAAUUGUCUCAUAUCUAGG